GAUGUAGCCAAGUGGAUCAAGGCAGUGGAUUU
rnacentral:tRNA from 53 species